AUUGAACGCUGGCGGCAGGCCUAACACAUGCAAGUCGAGCGAGCGGCGGACGGGUGAGUAAUGUAUGGGGAUCUGCCCGAUAGAGGGGGAUAACUACUGGAAACGGUGGCUAAUACCGCAUACUAUCGGCUCUGCCCGUAUGGGAUUAGCUAGUAGGUGGGGUAAGGGCUCACCUAGGCGACGAUCUCUAGCUGGUCUGAGAGGAUGAUCAGCCACACUGGGACUGAGACACGGCCCAGACUCCUACGGGAGGCAGCAGUGGGGAAUAUUGGACAAUGGGCGAAAGUCUGAUCCAGCAAUGCCGCGUGUGUGAAGAAGGGCUUCGGGUCGUAAAGCACUGUCAGUGGGGAGGCGUUACCCGAAGAAGAAGCACCGGCUAACUCCGUGCCAGCAGCCGCGGUAAUAC
rnacentral:rRNA from 1 species